rnacentral:rRNA from 1 species
UACGUAGGGUGCAAGCGUUGUCCGGAAUUAUUGGGCGUAAGGAGCUCGUAGGCGGUUUGUUGCGUCGGCUGUGAAAUCCCGAGGCUCAACCUCGGGUCUGCAGUCGAUACGAGCAAACUAGAGUGUUGCAGGGGAGACUGGAAUUCCUGGUGUAGCGGUGAAAUGCGCAGAUAUCAGGAGGAACACCGGUGGCGAAGGCGGGUCUCUGGGGCAACAACUGACGCUGAGGAGCGAAAGCGUGGGGAGCGAACAGG